rnacentral:rRNA from 1 species
AACGAACGCUGGCGGCAUGCCUAACACAUGCAAGUCGAACGAGACCUUCGGGUCUAGUGGCGCACGGGUGCGUAACGCGUGGGAACCUGCCCUUAGGUUCGGAAUAACUCCCCGAAAGGGGUGCUAAUACCGGAUAAUGUCUUCGGACCAAAGAUUUAUCGCCUUUGGAUGGGCCCGCGUUGGAUUAGCUAGUUGGUAGGGUAAAAGCCUACCAAGGCGACGAUCCAUAGCUGGUCUGAGAGGAUGAUCAGCCACACUGGGACUGAGACACGGCCCAGACUCCUACGGGAGGCAGCAGUGGGGAAUAUUGGACAAUGGGCGAAAGCCUGAUCCAGCAAUGCCGCGUGAGUGAUGAAGGCCUUAGGGUUGUAAAGCUCUUUUACCCGGGAUGAUAAUGACAGUACCGGGUGAAUAAGCUCCGGCUAACUCCGU